CUACGGGGUGCAGCAGUGAGGAAUCUUGCGCAAUGGGGGAAACCCUGACGCAGCCACGCCGCGUGGGUGAAGAAGGCCUUCGGGUCGUAAAGCCCUGUCAGGUGGGAAGAGCCGCAUAAGGAGUAACACAUCUUAUGCCCGACGGUACCACCAAAGGAAGCACCGGCUAACUCCGUGCCAGCAGCCGCGGUAAUACGGAGGGUGCAAGCGUUGUUCGGAAUUACUGGGCGUAAAGAGCGUGUAGGCGGCGUUGUAAGUCGUAUGUGAAAGCCCCCGGCUCAACUGGGGAAGUGCAUGCGAUACUGCUUCGCUUGAGUCUCGGAGAGGGAUGUGGAAUUCCCGGUGUAGAGGUGAAAUUCGUAGAUAUCGGGAGGAACACCAGUGGCGAAGGCGACAUCCUGGACGAAGACUGACGCUGAGACGCGAAAGCGUGGGGAGCAAACAGGAUUAGAUACCCGGGUAGUC
rnacentral:rRNA from 1 species